rnacentral:rRNA from 1 species
GACGUAGGUGGCAAACGUUAUCCGGAAUUAUUGGGCGUAAAGGGUGCGUAGAUGGCCUGAUAAGUUAGCAGUGGGAAAUCGAGGCUCAACCUCGUGGAAGCUGGUAAUACUGUCAGGCUCGAGUGCAGGAGAGGUUAACGGAACUCCAUGUGGAGCGGUAAAAUGUGUAGAUAUAUGGAAGAACACCAAUAAUGGCGAAGGCAGUGCCCUGGGUGGUCGCUGACGCUGAGAGGCGAAAGCCAGGGGAGCGAACGGG